rnacentral:tRNA from 1 species
UUCCUGGCAGUCCAGUGGUUAAGGCUCUGUGCUUCCACCACAGGGGACACAGGUUCGAUCCCUGGUCAGGUAA